GGGUAGAUAAGCGGAAUCAGUAACGCAGCGGUCUGUAAAAUCGUGGCUUUUAAGCAUUGUAGGUGCAAAUCCUACUCUACCCA
rnacentral:tRNA from 1 species